AACGAACGCUGGCGGCAGGCUUAACACAUGCAAGUCGAACGAGAUCUUCGGAUCUAGUGGCAGACGGGUGAGGAACACGUGGGAACAUCCCUUUCAGUUCGGAAUAACGUUGGGAAACUAACGCUAAUACCGGAUACGUCCUUCGGGAGAAAGAUUUAUCGCUGAAAGAUUGGCCCGCGUCUGAUUAGCUGGUUGGUGAGGUAACGGCUCACCAAGGCUACGAUCAGUAGCUGAUCUGAGAGGAUGAUCAGCCACAUUGGGACUGAGACACGGCCCAAACUCCUACGGGAGGCAGCAGUGGGGAAUAUUGGACAAUGGGCGCAAGCCUGAUCCAGCCAUGCCGCGUGAGUGAUGACGGCCUUCGGGUUGUAAAGCUCUUUUGUCCGGGAAGAUAAUGACUGUACCGGAAGAAUAAGCCCCGGCAAACUUCGUGCCAGCCGCCGCCGUAAAAC
rnacentral:rRNA from 1 species